rnacentral:rRNA from 1 species
GACGAACGCUGGCGGCGUGCUUAACACAUGCAAGUCGAACGGAAAGGCCCUGCUGUUGUGGGGUGCUCGAGUGGCGAACGGGUGAGUAACACGUGAGUAACCUGCCCUUGACUUUGGGAUAACUUCAGGAAACUGGGGCUAAUACCGGAUAGGAGCUCCUGCUGCAUGGUGGGGGUUGGAAAGUUUCGGCGGUUGGGGAUGGACUCGCGGCUUAUCAGCUUGUUGGUGGGGUAGUGGCUUACCAAGGCUUUGACGGGUAGCCGGCCUGAGAGGGUGACCGGCCACAUUGGGACUGAGAUACGGCCCAGACUCCUACGGGAGGCAGCAGUGGGGAAUAUUGCACAAUGGGCGGAAGCCUGAUGCAGCAACGCCGCGUGCGGGAUAACGGCCUUCGGGUUGUAAACCGCUUUCGCCUGUGACGAAGCGUGAGUGACGGUAAUGGGUAAAGAAGCACCGGCUAACUACGUG